GGCGUCCGAGUUGUAAUCUAUAGAGGCGUUUUCCGCGCCGGACCGCGUCCAAGUCUCUUGGAAUAGAGUAUCAAAGAGGGUGACAAUCCCGUACUUGACGCGACAACCGGUGCUCUGUGAUACGUUCUCAAUGAGUCGAGUUGUUUGGGAAUGCAGCUCUAAAUGGGUGGUAAAUUCCAUCUAAGGCUAAAUAUUGGCGAGAGACCGAUAGCGAACAAGUACCGUGAGGGAAAGAUGAAAAGCACUUUGGAAAGAGAGUUAAACAGCACGUGAAAUUGUUAAAAGGGAAACGAUUGAAGUCAGUCGUGUGAAAGGUAUUCAGCCGUCUCUGGCGGUGUAUUUGCCUUUCACGGGUCAACAUCAGUUUGAUCCGGUAGAAAAAGGCAGGAGGAAGGUGGCACCCUCGGGUGUGUUAUAGCCUCUUGUCAUAUGUGCCGGACCAGACUG
rnacentral:rRNA from 1 species